rnacentral:tRNA from 1 species
GGAAGGGUGCUCGAGUGGUUGAAGAGGCUUGACUCGAAAUCAAGUGUACCCGCAAGGGUACCGUGGGUUCGAAUCCCACCCCUUCCG